GACGAACGCUGGCGGCGUGCUUAACACAUGCAAGUCGAACGGAAAGGCCCUGCUUUUGUGGGGUGCUCGAGUGGCGAACGGGUGAGUAACACGUGAGUAACCUGCCCUUGACUUUGGGAUAACUUCAGGAAACUGGGGCUAAUACCGGAUAGGAGCUCCUUCUGCAUGGUGGGGGUUGGAAAGUUUCGGCGGUUGGGGAUGGACUCGCGGCUUAUCAGCUUGUUGGUGGGUUAGUGGCUUACCAAGGCUUUGACGGGUAGCCGGCCUGAGAGGGUGACCGGCCACAUUGGGACUGAGAUACGGCCCAGACUCCAACGGGAGGCAGAAGGGGGGAAUAUUGCAAAAUGGGCGGAAGCCUGAGGCAGCAACGCCGCUUGCGGGAUGACGGCCUUCGGGUUGUAAACCGCUUUCGCCCGUGACGAAGCGUGAGUGACGGUAAUGGGUAAAGAAGCACCGGCUAACUACGUG
rnacentral:rRNA from 1 species